ncrna:unclassified sequences Glutamine riboswitch
UACGUUCAACCUUUAUGGUCGGAAGUAAGCUUGAAGCUGAAGGAACGCAUU